AGAUGCGAUCAUAACUGCACUAAUGCACUGGAUCCCAUCACAGCUCCGAAGUUAAGCAUGCCUGGGCGAGAGUAGUGCUAGGAAGGGUGGCCUCCUGGGAAGUCCUCUUGUUGCAUUUU
rfam:Triticum aestivum genome assembly, contig: Triticum_aestivum_CS42_TGACv1_scaffold_050051_1BS